rnacentral:rRNA from 1 species
AGAAUUGAUCUGGUCAGGAUGAACGCUGGCGGCGUGCCUAACACAUGCAAGUCGAACGAAGCACUUACCGUGAUCCUCGGGUGAACGGUCUGUGACUGAGUGGCGGACGGGUGAGUAACGCGUGGGUAACCUGCCCUGGUACAGGGGGAUAACAGCCAGAAAUGGCUGCUAAUACCGCAUAAGCGCAGGCCGUGGCAUCAUGGCUUGCGGAAAACUCCGGUGGUACAGGAUGGGCCCGCGUCUGAUUAGCUUGUUGGCGGGUAAAGGCCCACCAAGGCGACGAUCAGUAGCCGGUCUGAGAGGAUGAACGGCCACAUUGGAACUGAGACACGGUCCAAACUCCUACGGGAGGCAGCAGUGGGGGAUAUUGCACGAAUGGGGGGAACCCUGAUGCAGCAACGCCCGCGUGAGUGAAGAAGUAUUUCGGUAUGUAAAGCUCUAUCAGCAGGGAAGAUGAUGACGGUACCUGACUAAGAAGCUCCGGCUAAAUACGUGCCAGCCGCUGC